GUGCAAUCAUGAAAUCUGCCUCUCAUCACCUUAUCCACCUUCAAAGAACGAACAGCAUAUGCUCCUUCUCUCCCUCCAUGGAUCCCUUUUGCUUCUCCACCACCCAGUCCCUGAAAAUUUAGCACAGAGAACAAAGCAAAACCAUUCUUGGUUCCACCAAAUCAAAAACAAAGAUCACAAUUUUCAAUCAGAAAAAGAAACCCAAUCAAAGAAAAAGUUUCAGUGAUCAGUACCCACUUGAGAAGAAGCUCUGCAAAUGGCUUCCGCAACCACCAGACCAACUUUCUCUUUCCACCAUCUCACCUCCCAAUCUUCCCCUCCUCCAAAACCUCCAUCAAAACUCUCCCUCCACGCCUCCCCGAAACUCCCAUCGCCAUCAAUCAUCAAUCUCCAAAUCAACAGAUCGUCUUCAAAGCAACCCUCCACAACUUCUCGCUCCAUCGAUGUCUCCAAAGAAGACAAACCCAC
rnacentral:lncRNA from 1 species